GACGAACGCUGGCGGCGUGCCUAAUACAUGCAAGUAGAACGCACAGUUUAUACCGUAGCUUGCUACACCAUAGACUGUGAGUUGCGAACGGGUGAGUAACGCGUAGGUAACCUGCCUGGUAGCGGGGGAUAACUAUUGGAAACGAUAGCUAAUACCGCAUAAUAUUGAUUAUUGCAUGAUAAUUGAUUGAAAGAUGCUAUUGCAUCACUACCAGAUGGACCUGCGUUGUAUUAGCUAGUAGGUGAGGUAACGGCUCACCUAGGCGACGAUACAUAGCCGACCUGAGAGGGGGAUCGGCCACACUGGGACUGAGACACGGCCCAGACUCCUACGGGAGGCAGCAGGAGGGAAUCUUCGGCAAUGGACGAAAGGCUGACCGAGCAACGCCGCGUGAGUGAAGAAGGUUUUCGGAUCGUAAAGCUCUGUUGUAAGAGAAGAACGGGUGUGAGAGUGGAAAGUUCACAAUGUGACGGUAGCUUACCAGAAAGAGACGGCUAACUACGUG
rnacentral:rRNA from 1 species